GUCAAACUGGAUUUUAGAUCCCUAUAACGAAGAAUUGGCAAUAUUUAGAGUUAAAGCUAGUACAUUUUUGUAUGAUUUUAAUGUUGUGUGUCCCAAUAUUAGUUCACUACACUGUAAACAUCUUUUGGAGAUGAAGCAAGUGCAUUUGUUUUUAACUCGAAUAUAUAGUCUAAAAGAAAUACACUACAAAAUAACUGUGUUUCCGCGCCAUCUGCGCCAUCUGCGCC
rnacentral:lncRNA from 1 species